rnacentral:rRNA from 1 species
UACGGAGGGGGCUAGCGUUGUUCGGAAUUACUGGGCGUAAAGCGCACGUAGGCGGCUUUGUAAGUUAGAGGUGAAAGCCCGGGGCUCAACUUCGGAAUUGCCUUUAAGACUGCAUCGCUAGAAUUGUGGAGAGGUAAGUGGAAUUCCGAGUGUAGAGGUGAAAUUCGUAGAUAUUCGGAAGAACACCAGUGGCGAAGGCGACUCACUGGACAUGUAUUGACGCUGAGGUGCGAAAGCGUGGGGAGCAAACAGG